UGAAUCCGUUUUGAAUAUAUCGUCAGUGUUCAAACCAGAUCCAAGUCCUAAGCCCUCGGGCAUGUAAAUCUGAUCAGUUAAAAGUCCUUGGCCUCAUGGCAUAAAAAAGAACCUUAUGUGGACUUAACCCAUCCACGACAGUCCUUGAUAAACGAGAAGUCCGAAGUUACUUGGGGCGCAAGUAAUCGACCUACCCUCUAGUUUUCUUUCUAUUAUAUUAUGAUUACCAUAGAACGCUUGAGCAUGGAAUGGAUUCUGAUGGAAAGCCUCAAGGCCUACACCUAAGGCCCCACAAAGGCAUCCAUUCGGAUUCAUUCCGUUCUGCGAUCUAAAGAGUCUAAGUAUAAGAAUGAACUCUGAUGGGAAGCCUCAAGGCCUAUACCUAAGGCCCCACGAAGGCAUCUAUUUGGGUUCAUUCUACUUCUUGGACUCGGGUAAUCAGAAGUAUAAUAGUUAGAAAACUCCUGCAAUCACGAGAACAAAUAUGAUGUGUUCGAGCACUGGUUUAGUUAUUGAUGGGAAGCCUCAAGGCCUACACCUAAGGCCCCACAAAUGCACCUAUUAUAACUAACACGGUUUCUUGGAUAUAUACAUAUAUACAACUAAAACGCAACAUCCAUUUUACAUCUGCCAUGCUAAAGAUGGCAGUGGCACGCCUGAGCACCUAAAAGUUAACCUUGAUUGUGAGCCUCAAGGCAUACACCUAAGGCCCCACAAAGGCACAUCUCAAAGUUAACUCUGUCCUUCUCUUUCAGCCUUGCCCGACGAGCCUUGUCCGAAGAG
rnacentral:lncRNA from 1 species